GGGAGCCAGGGAAGAGGCAGU
rnacentral:miRNA from 1 species